GGGGGAGGGGCUGGCCCUGGGGAAGGGCUUGAUUCUGGGCUGAUGUCUGCUGGCUUCACCUUCUCCCCCUCCGCAGGCCCUCUCCUCUCUUUGCCAGCUCUGCGGUACUCCCUGGAGGCCUGUGGUCCCUGUCCCUGCCCAUCAGGUGCCUCUACUCUCUGGGCAGGGCCAUCAGAAUUCUCAACCCCAGGGACUUGGGGCU